rnacentral:rRNA from 1 species
AUGGAGAUCGAGGUUGCCGCCGACGCCGCCGCCGCAGCUGGCGAGGGGUCUAGCGAUCGCACUGACGGCCCUGAGGCCGCAGGAGCGCCAGGCGCUACGUCGACCGCCGACCCGUCCGCCGCUGCCGCAGUGCCAGGCUCCGAAGAGCCCCAGCCGGGCGUAUACUUGAAGGCCGGCGAUGGCGUCUUCAUCAACCUCCCCUGGGCGUCGAGCUCCAGGGCGCCGGUUGAAGGGGAGAGCUUCGACGGAGAGGUGCUCGCCUCCGCUGGGCUGACGCUGGUUGACGCGCCGAGCAGCAGCAGCGGCGAGCCUGAGGAGGAGCGGCUGCUGCGGAAGCUGUUGUCGCUCUACCGCGCGCGGCAAGCCAAGCUGGAAUCCCGCGAGGCGCUUGUCGCGAAGGCGGGAGUGGACAUCGAGAAGCACGCGGAGGAGCUCCGGAGUCUCAACCAGGAAGCUCUCCGGUCUCUGGCAGAGGAGCGGGAGCAACUCGCCGAAGUGCAGAAGGCCUUCUUCCUCGAGAAGGCCGAAGUUGAAGAGCAACAGCGGCUUGCCGCUGGAAAGCUGUCUGCGCAGGAGGGCGAGCUGGCGCAGCGGAAAGUCAACCUUGACGCCCACGAGGAGGAGCUUGCCGCGCGUGAGCAACAAUUCGGCGGAGCCCUUAAGCAAGCAGAGGAUGCUGCCGCAGUUGCCGAGGCUGCCAAGAAGGAGCUGGAGACGAAGGUGGCGCAGCUGGAGGCCGAUCUCGCCGAGAAGGGCAAAGAGCUUAGCGCCGCCAAGGACUCCAACGCGGAUCUUGAGUUGAAGCUGACCACUUUGACCAAGACGCUGGACGGCGCCAAGGAGCAGGAGGUGGCCUUGAAGGAGGAGAUCAAGGCCGACAAGGCGCUGUUGGAAACUGCUGCCGCCGCCCAGAAUGCUUUCAGGGAGAAUGUGGAGCACUGGACGGAGGGUCUCGUGAAUGUUGCCGCAGACAUUGACAGGGAGCUGGCGCAACUGGGGAUGGAGGAUCUCGGGUAUCCCUCCGACGAGAACCUCCAACCCAGCGUCAAGCUCAUCUUGUUCUUCAAAGGCAUGGCGACGGCCCUCCAACGGCUCCGGGAGAAGAUCCCAAAGCAGCUGGCCGACGAGUCGCGCAAGAUCUGCGCGGGAGCUCUUCAAAAAGUAUUGGUGAAGGUGGCCUUCCGCAAUCCGGGCCUCAACCUCACCAACGUCCUCAUGACCCUGCCGCCGGAUGUUGAUCUGGAGGCGCUCAAGACCCUUGUCGCACCCAUUGUGGACAAGGUGAGCGGGAUCAAGAGGAUCGAGGGCGAUCGCGUAGACUAG